rnacentral:rRNA from 1 species
AUGAAGACCUCGGCGCCGAUGAGUCCGGAUGAAAUCGACAAGGCGAUGGCUUCCGAGGCGAGGAAAUUCGCGUCGCACGCUCGCGUUUGGGAAUCCGCGUGGGGCGAAACAUGCGGCUUCUUCACAGACACCACGGCGCUGAGUUCCAUGCAGUUUACACACUAUAUAUCUGGACACAUCUCAAACAAUUGUGCUGGGUCCAGUCCGGAAACCUUGCAGGUCUUCUCCAUCAAACUCACGGAAAUAGCUGCUGGUCUCGCCUGGCCAUUGGCUGUGUACGGUGUGGUUGCUGUUCGAGACAUCGCAGAUCAUAACCGUAACCUUCUCUUCUGUUGUGAUAGGAGCCAUGCCCAAGAACUCAAUCAAGAUGAUUCGUUUUUGCGCUUAAUUGGGCCAUCACGUGCAAUUGUGUUAACAGACAUAGUUGACAUUGAAAUCCAACUGAAAGUGAAAGGUCCAACAAAGUCUCAAGAUAAAGCGUUGAUCAGCCAUGUCUGUAAUUAUGGUGGAGAAGGUCUUGGUGUAUCUACCAACCCUUUGCAUUGA